GGCAAGAUAACACUGACCUCCAGACUGUGAGAUCUGAGUGACAUAGCCCAGUCCCCAACAGGGCAUUGCCAAAGAAAUGGGAAGAAGCAGCUGCUGAAGAAGCAGAAGAAAUGGGUCUGGAAUCAAGAAUCACCACGGUGGAUCUAAGCAGUUCCCCAAUCCCAAGCAGAAUAUGGGGAAAUGAUUGUGUUUCCAUGGAGACUGUGUUGCGGAUAUGAUGAAAAGUACCUGAGAGGAGGAGAGAAGUCAAGCGGUGCCAGAUUUCGUUCAGAGGGGCAACACAGAGGGCUCAUUAUUAGCGGAAUUGCAUAAAUGGCAUUCUCUCCCAAUAGUAAAUUAAACAC